rnacentral:rRNA from 1 species
ACGGAAGGUGCAAGCGUUAGUCGGAAUUAUUGGGCGUAAAGGGUGCGUAGGCGGCAUUCUAAGUUGGUUAUGAAAUUCUGUGGGCUCAACCCCAGACCUAUAACCAAAACUGGAAUGCUUGAGGGAUGGCGGAGAAAACGGAAUUCCAUGUGUAGCGGUGAAAUGCGUAGAUAUAUGGAAGAACACCUGUGGCGAAAGCGGUUUUCUAGCCUAGUCCUGACGCUAAGGCACGAAAGCAAGGGGAGCAAACAG